AGAGCGAACGCUGGCGGCGUACUUAACACAUGCAAGUCGAACGGGGAUCGUCGGAUUAGCAAUAAUUCGACGGUCCUAGUGGCGCACGGGUGAGUAACACGUGGGUAACCUGCCCUAGAGUUCGGGAUACCCCCUCGAAAGGGGGGCUAAUACCGGAUACGGUCCUUGGGUCGAAAGGCCUGGGGAAGAAAGGUAGCGCAAGCUGCCGCUCUUGGAGGGGCUCGCGGCCUAUCAGCUAGUUGGCGGGUAACGCCCACCAAGGCUAUGACGGGUAGCUGGUCUGAGAGGACGACCAGCCACACGGGGACUGAGACACGGCCCCGACUCCUACGGGAGGCAGCAGUGGGGAAUUUCCGCAAUGGGCGAAAGCCUGACGGAGUGACGCCGCGUGUGGGACGAAGGCCUUCGGUACGUAAACCACUGUCAGUGGGAAAGAGUGGUGUCGGCGUGAAUAGCGACCGAUAGUCUGACGUACCUGCAGAGGAACGCCCCGACCAACUCGUGUCGC
rnacentral:rRNA from 1 species